rnacentral:lncRNA from 1 species
CUAUUUUACAUAUACCUACCCUUCCCUAAUUGUUUGUUUACACUGUCAUGUCCAUCUUUGAGCGGUGACUUUGUUUUAGCCUUUUUUUGCAUACUUGCAAACCAAUCAGCAUGCACUCCCCAUUCUGAGCCCAUAAAAGCCCUGGACUCAGUCACACACAGAGAAAAACCACCUGACUUCGGUUGGGGGACCACCCUUGCAUCCCCUCUCUGCUGAGAGCUGUUCUGUUGUUCAAUAAAAUUCUUCUCCGGGGCAUGGGACAAGAACUCAGGAACCACCAAAUGUGGGUAUGAGCUAUAACAUGGGUGAGCUGGGGCAUGCCUGCCUAGCCACAGGCUAAGCCAGUGCACCCUUCUCUUGAAUUUCUAACAGCAUCACCACCUUCAAAGUCACCUGAGCCAGGCACAUGAGAGACAUCUUAGACUUUGCUGUCUCUUUCAUCUCCCAGAUGAAGUUCUAUUCAUUCUACCUACUUAAGGUUAUCAACAACCCCUUGAUUACUUCCACAUUAGAUUGCUGCUAUAGCCUUCAAGUUUGUCUCCCCAUCCGCAGUUUGGCCAUAUCCCAUCCAUUCUCCUCAUUUCUGCCAAGUAUGUUUUCUAAAAUACAAAUAUUUAUUAUUGAAAAUAGCAAACAUUGUACUAUUUUUGUGUAUUAUCUUACUUAAUUCUCAAAAUAUCCUUAGAAAGCAAACACAAUUAUUAGUGUAUUUUGCAAAUGCAGAGAUUGAGGUUCAUGCACAGUAAUGGAUCCAGGAGCAAGACGCCAGAGGCCACACUCUUAAAACACCUCUCAGCUCCAUCACACACUCAGAUUAUCUGCAUAGAGUCUCAUAGCUCUUAGGAU